rnacentral:ncRNA from 1 species
UUCUCUGUGAGUGCACAAGGUAUGCAGAUUUUCGAGAUCUGAGGGGGAUUGGUAUAAGUGAGGUUAGUGGCGGGUUUGACGUAAGUCAAUCACUCUCCACUAGUGAUAGGGUUAGAAGAAUGAGUGAGUUUGCUAGAGCUGCAUUUUCCAGGCGACGUUUGCAAUUGCAGGAAGGAAUUGUAUGAAUGAUGAUGGAUGGUAGAUGUGAGAAUGUGGGGGUACGAAUGUGGGGGUGUUUCUGAAUGGUAAUUUUUGUUGAACAUUGUGUUGUGAUGGGGCUACCAACCCUUAACUGUUUGGAGUUUAAAUUGGAAGUGCCCUUCUGGUACGAGGCCUGACCGGAGGCUUUUAAUCUGGUACCACGGGUAACCAGGAGCCCACGGAACUUGUUCCGUCCUGGUUAGUUGGUGCGGCCCUUCGGGGAGUAUCGUGGUGGUUGUGGUUUAACACCCAAAUGCGGGUAGAGCAUCGCUCGACGUGGAGUUGCGUCAUACAACCGGGUUCCGUGACCCAGAUUACGGAAGAGGCUUAGAUAGUCCUCGUGCCAAACCAAGGUAGAAGUCACAACCAAACAGUCGUGUCUUUAAUUGGUACCUGCGGAAUUGUUCCAAGGGGGCGGUGAUUGACGCUUGAAUUAAUCCUAUACUAGGAACCGUGAGAUUAAGCCAUCGCGGCAGGUGCUCACGUUAAGCCCACUGACUUUCAUGUCCCUAUCUACUAUCUAGCGAAAAACACAGCCAAGGGAACGGGCUUGGAAUAAUUAGCGGGGAAAGAAGACCCUUUUGAGCUUGACUCUAAUCUGGCAGUGUAAGGAGACAUAAGAGGUGUAGAAUAAGUGGGGAAAUAUUAGACUUUCGUUUGGUAUCCACAAUGAAAUAACCCUUAAUCCUAUUGGGUUCUUUACUUACUUAAUUAAAUGGAACCGGGAUCCUUUUCCUAACCCCUUAUACGGAAAUAAAUUUUUAUGUCCUAAGGGUAUUGGGGUUUUAAUCCAAGCUUCCUUGAUUCAAAUAUCCCCAAAUUUUU